UACAGAGGGUGCGAGCGUUGUCCGGAAUCACUGGGCGUAAAGGGCGCGUAGGCGGCCCGGUAAGUCGGGGGUGAAAUUCUGCGGCUCAACCGCAGGACGGCCUUCGAGACUGUCGGGCUCGAGCACGGUAGAGGCUGGUGGAAUUCCCGGUGUAGCGGUGGAAUGCGUAGAGAUCGGGAAGAACAUCGGUGGCGAAGGCGGCCAGCUGGGCCGUUGCUGACGAUGAGGCGCGACAGAGUGGGGAGCAAACAGG
rnacentral:rRNA from 1 species